AUAAAUCCUGUGCUAGGCUGUGCUGUGGGAGAGGAAAAUGAUAAAGUCAAUCCCAGGACUGGCUCAGCAGGGAGCUCACAGGAGGAAAGCUACGCAACAGAAGGAUAAACCAAGUGCAACAGAGGAUGACAUGGACACAGAUUUGCCUCCUCCCACUAAAGGAGGCAAAUGCCAUGGAGUGCUUUAGGGAAGAAGUGGCAUUUGAGAGGAGCUUUGAAAGAGAUACGGAGAGACUAGACCCAUCUACAGUACUGCAAAUCAAGCCCUACUUCUGAUACUAGAUUUUUCAAUCAUGGUUUCAUGGUAAGCCUCAAAUCUGACUUCUGUGCUUGACCUUCAAGUGGGUAAAUCUAACAACAGUAUUAUGUGAUAUUUCUUCUCAGUGCAGGUGGAAUUUACAAGAAAACUCUGUUCUUUUUCAUGGUGCAACAGCAGGAUGCAACAGAAAGUGCCCUGGGCUCUGAGAUCUGUCUCUACCUCUUAUUAACUGUGUGACCAUAAGCAACUCCAAUCCCCGCCCUUUCCCUCAAGAGUUCUUAGGAUGAUGGAAUAAAACAACAGAUGUGGGCCGGGCGCAGUGGCUCAUGCCUG
rnacentral:lncRNA from 1 species